rnacentral:tRNA from 1 species
GGUUGUGGCUCAGAGGUAGAGCACUUGCCUAGCAUGCGUGAGGCACUGGGUUCAAUCCUCAGCACCA